AACGAACGCUGGCGGCAUGCCUAACACAUGCAAGUCGAACGAGACCUUCGGGUCUAGUGGCGCACGGGUGCGUAACGCGUGGGAACCUGCCUUUAGGUUCGGAAUAACUCAGAGAAAUUUGAGCUAAUACCGGAUGAUGUCUUCGGACCAAAGAUUUAUCGCCUUUAGAUGGGCCCGCGUUGGAUUAGCUAGUUGGUGGGGUAAAGGCCUACCAAGGCGACGAUCCAUAGCUGGUCUGAGAGGAUAAUCAGCCACACUGGGACUGAGACACGGCCCAGACUCCUACGGGAGGCAGCAGUGGGGAAUAUUGGACAAUGGGCGAAAGCCUGAUCCAGCAAUGCCGCGUGAGUGAUGAAGGCCUUAGGGUUGUAAAGCUCUUUUACCCGAGAUGAUAAUGACAGUAUCGGGAGAAUAAGCUCCGGCUAACUCCGUG
rnacentral:rRNA from 1 species